rnacentral:misc_RNA from 1 species
UCGAAUCUCACCGCGAGCAGACCGCGCACACGUAUAUGCCGCGCGGGGCUCCCGACGGAUGGGCGCCUGCGCUCCUCCCGUCGCCGUCCCGCACCCGCCUGACCCGCGCGCGAGCGAUCGUGCUGGGCGGGGACAACAACAACAACCACGGCGUGGAAGAGGCGCCAAGGAUCACAAACGCGGAGCGUCGCCCCCUUCCUGCACCCGUCCGCGGUGUGCCGUUCGUGGGACGGGCGUCUCCCGAGAUUGAAUACGGAAAAAAAU